GCUUUCAUAAAAGCGAAACCCACAGAUGUUACGCUUCAACAUGACAAGCCAUUUUUAUUCUGGUUAGGAAAAGAUCUUCCGUUUAAAAGAAAAACGAUGCCACAAAGGAGACGAUGCUCUUGGGAUUCAGCAACCACAGCAGCUUUCAGAAGCCCCCAAACUCUUCAAUUCAAAGAAAAGCUAAGCUCCUUUCCUCCAGAAAUAAUCCUUUCUUUAGCAGGUAUCAUGCUGGGAUCAUAAGUCAGCGUAAUCCUUGAAUGGUGGACAGUGGGAGCUUGCAGAGACGACUGCGGCCUGUCUUGUUUUCCAGCUGGUUUUUUUUAAAUCUUCUCAUUGCACAUCUUGGACACGAUGGCGUGAAAACGUACAAACUGGCAACUGAUAGAUUUCUGCAGAGUCUAGGAUAUAGCUACUAUGAUUAACAGCAUGAUUCUAGCCAUGUCUGCUCAGAAAUAUUGGAACCAGAGGAGUCUCAGUCUGCACUGGAUCCUUUGCCUCUGAACCAAGUCUGGGGCCUGAUCCUGAAGAGUCCCAGUCUGCACAGGUUCCCCUGCAACAAACACCAGCUGGGCCGAGUCAGGGGCCUGAGCCUGCCCUGGCUCCAGAUGCGGGGAUUACCUCGUUGCCUUCAGCUAGGCCAUCACUUACAGCUGCUCCACUACCAGU